UCACGCACAGGGCAAACCAUCUGAAAAGAUGGGACGCAAAGCCUCCGGCCUAAACCAUGAAAAUGAUAGGUAGCGGGGUUACCGAU
rfam:Vibrio sp. MEBiC08052 genomic scaffold scaffold00001, whole genome shotgun sequence.